ACCCCAUGAUGAGGACACUUACGAAUCAAAUCUUUGAAUCUUUCCCACACCUCGUAUAAGGACUCAUCAUCCAAUUGUUGAAAAGUAUUUAUCUCAUGUUGUAACU
rfam:Gossypium hirsutum cultivar TM-1 chromosome 1, whole genome shotgun sequence